rnacentral:rRNA from 1 species
GACAGAGGGUGCAAACGUUGUUCGGAAUUACUGGGCGUAAAGCGUGUGUAGGCGGCUUCGCAAGUCGGAUGUGAAAGCCCCGGGCUCAACCCGGGAAGUGCACUCGAUACUGCAGGGCUUGAGUAUCGGAGAGGUUGGUGGAAUUCUCGGUGUAGAGGUGAAAUUCGUAGAUAUCGAGAGGAACACCGGCGGCGAAGGCGGCCAACUGGACGAAUACUGACGCUGAGACACGAAAGCGUGGGGAGCAAACAGG